GACGAACGCUGGCGGCGUGCCUAAUACAUGCAAGUCGAACGCACUCUCGUUUAGAUUGAAGGAGUUUGCUCCUGAUUGAUAAACAUUUGAGUGAGUGGCGGACGGGUGAGUAACACGUGGGUAACCUGCCCUAAAGUGGGGGAUAACAUUUGGAAACAGAUGUUAAUACCGCAUAAAACCUAACACCGCAUGGUGUAGGGUUGAAAGAUGGUUUCGGCUAUCACUUUAGGAUGGACCCGCGGUGCAUUAGUUAGUUGGUGAGGUAAAGGCUCACCAAGACCGUGAUGCAUAGCCGACCUGAGAGGGUAAUCGGCCACACUGGGACUGAGACACGGCCCAGACUCCUACGGGAGGCAGCAGUAGGGAAUCUUCCACAAUGGACGAAAGUCUGAUGGAGCAACGCCGCGUGAGUGAAGAAGGUUUUCGGAUCGUAAAACUCUGUUGUUGGAGAAGAAUGUAUCUGAUAGUAACUGAUCAGGUAGUGACGGUAGCCAACCAGAAAGCCACGGCUAACUACGUG
rnacentral:rRNA from 1 species